UACGGAGGGUGCAAGCGUUAAUCGGAAUUACUGGGCGUAAAGCGUGCGCAGGCGGUUUGUUAAGUCCGUUGUGAAAGCCCCGAGCUCAACUUGGGAAUUGCAGUGGAUACUGGCAGGCUGGAGUACGGUAGAGGAAGGUGGAAUUCCCGGUGUAGCAGUGAAAUGCGUAGAUAUCGGGAGGAACACCAGUGGCGAAGGCGGCCUUCUGGACCAGUACUGACGCUCAGGCACGAAAGCGUGGGGAGCAAACAGG
rnacentral:rRNA from 1 species